rnacentral:rRNA from 1 species
AUGGCGACCACCGUAGUGCUGCUGCUGAUCCUACUUCACUUGCUGGUGGCGAAAGCGACGGCGGCGGCUCAGCGGCAGCUGCCCGUGGCGCGGCCGAGGUGCCGCGACAGGUGCGGUAACAUCACCGUUCCCUACCCCUUCGGCAUCGGCGCGGGCUGCUACCGCGACGAAGCCGGCGCCAACAGCUUGCGCUUCGAGCUCGAGUGCGACGACGGCCGCUCCCCUCCGCGCCUCGUGGACGCCAACCAAAAGAACCAACUCGCGGACCUCUCCCUCGAUGCCGGCGAGGCCCGCGCCUACCUCAACGCGACACGCCACUGCUACAACUCCACAGGGGGGUUCGCCGGGCGGAACACCAACAAGGCGUACAUGACCCUGUUAGGCACCCCCUUCCUCUUCUCGUCCACCAAGAGCCGCCUCGUCGCGCUCGGCUGCCCCAACCUCGGCUACUUCGUCCAUGGCGACGGCUACUACGUCAGCGGCUGCAUGUCCGUGUGCCGCCCCUCGCAGGAAGCCAUGCCGGGCCCGUGCACCGGCAUUGGGUGCUGCCAGAGCGAGAUACCCCCCGGCCUCCAUUUUUUCGAGCCUACCAUUCGCAACUUUCCGCGGGGGGGUGAGGACUUCUCCUUCUACUCCAACAGCACGCCGUGCCGCUACGUGUUCCUCGUCGACAAGGAGUGGUUCAGCUACACCGAUCGCGUCUUCCUCAACCGCACCGACGACUUCGAUGUGCCCGUCGUGCUCGACUGGGCCAUCCGGAACGUCGGCAACUGCAGCGCCGCUAGGCAAAACACGACGGACUUCGCCUGCCGAGGUGGGGCGCGCAGCGACUGCUUUGACGUCGCCAAUGGCCCCGGGUACCGAUGCAACUGCUCCCAGGGCUACGAAGGCAACCCGUACCUCGACAAUGGAUGCAUAGAUAUAGACGAGUGCGAACACAAAGAAAAUUACUCUUGCUACGGAGUCUGCACAAACACAAUAGGGAGCUACACAUGCCAAUGCCCUCCGGGUACUAGUGGAGAUGUCAAAGUCAAGAGUGGCUGCCGGCCAGAUGACAAGUUUACAUUAGCUCUGAAAGUCGUUACAGGUGUCAGCGUCGGGGUGUUCUUGUCGGUGUCCAUGUGCUUCUGGCUCUACUUGGGGCUGCAGAAGCGGAAGCUCAUCAAGGCAAAGCAGAGCUUCUUCGAGCACAACGGAGGCGUCAUCCUGCAGCAGCAGAUGCGUUCCUAUAGUGGCACCGCAGGAGGUGGCGGUGGCGGAUUCAAAAUAUUCUCCGAAGAAGAGCUCGAGAAGGCGACCAACAACUUCGCCGCCGAUCAGAUCCUCGGGCGGGGCGGCCAUGGCAUCGUGUACAAGGGUGUCCUCGAGGACAAGACGGUGGUGGCCAUCAAGAAGUCCAAGGUGAUGGAGGCGACCGAGACCAAGGAGUUUGCGAGAGAGAUGCUCAUCCUCUCCCAGAUCAACCACCGAAACGUCGUCAAGCUGCACGGCUGCUGCCUCGAGGUGGAGGUGCCAAUGCUGGUCUAUGAGUACGUCUCCAAUGGCACCCUCUACCACUACAUCCAUGGCGGUGAGGGCCUCGACAAUAACAAGGCACUCGAUACCCGCCUUCGGAUAGCGGCAGAGUCUGCGGAGGCGCUGUCAUAUAUGCACUCGUCAGCCUCGCCCCCGAUCCUCCACGGUGAUGUCAAGACGGCGAACAUCCUGCUUGACGACAACCUCACUGCCAAAGUCACGGAUUUCGGGGCGUCGAAGCUGGCACCAAACGACGAGGUUGAGAUUGCGACAUUGGUGCAGGGAACUUGCGGGUACCUGGACCCGGAGUACCUCAUGACAUGCCAGCUGACGGACAAGAGCGACGUGUACAGCUUUGGCGUCGUUUUGCUGGAGCUCCUUACAGGGAAGAAGCCGAUCCGCUUCGACGGGCCAGAGGAGGGAAGGAGCCUCAUGUCCGGGUUCAUGACAGCAGCGAAGGUUGGUGGACACUACGAGCUCCUAGACAACCAGGUGAGAAAUGAGAUGGGGCCAGAGGCAUUGGAAGAAAUCACACACCUCAUGAUGCGAUGCGUGAGCAUGAGCGGCGAGGAGCGACCGUCGAUGAAGGAAGUUGCCGAGAGGUUGGAGGCGUUGAGAAGGUACCAGAGGCACCCAUGGGGCCAGGCUGGUGCUGGUGAUCCGGAGGAGGGGCAAAGUUUGCUUGGUAGAGAGCAACAACGUGAUGUGAAUUAUAAGUUCAAACCGCAGGACGUGCUUGAUCUCGAAGAGGGUAGCACAUACACUUUUAGCUUGUAG